GUGUGUGUGGUUCAUAUAACCGAGAGAACUUACCCAAGGUCAUACAAGGUGCAGUAUGGAAUGCAGAGUUUGCGUAAGAAGGUCCAGAUAUCAUUGUAAGU